rnacentral:rRNA from 1 species
GGGGACCAUCCUCCAAGGCUAAAUACUCCUGACUGACCGAUAGUGAACCAGUACCGUGAGGGAAAGGCGAAAAGAACCCCGGCGAGGGGAGUGAAAAAGAACCUGAAACCGUGUACGUACAAGCAGUGGGAGCCUCUUAAUGGGGUGACUGCGUACCUUUUGUAUAAUGGGUCAGCGACUUAUAUUCUGUAGCAAGGUUAACCGAAUAGGGGAGCCGAAGGGAAACCGAGUCUUAACUGGGCGUUAAGUUGCAGGGUAUAGACCCGAAACCCGGUGAUCUAGCCAUGGGCAGGUUGAAGGUUGGGUAACACUAACUGGAGGACCGAACCGACUAAUGUUGAAAAAUUAGCGGAUGACUUGUGGCUGGGGGUGAAAGGCCAAUCAAACCGGGAGAUAGCUGGUUCUCCCCGAAAGCUAUUUAGGUAGCGCCUCGUGAAUUCAUCUCCGGGGGUAGAGCACUGUUUCGGCAAGGGGGUCAUCCCGACUUACCAACCCGAUGCAAACUGCGAAUACCGGAGAAUGUUAUCACGG